CGGAGAGAGCGGUGUGGCCGGCAGUUGCCGUGGUUUCUGUACUGAGGUGACCUUUUCGUUGCUCAAGUUGGCGAACAUAGCGUUCCUGUCUCUCCGUCCCGCCGUCAGGAGUGCAGAGGGGGAGGUCAGAAGCUCAGCUACUCUUCUUCAGACCAGGGCCGACACCCUACUUUGCCUUCGCCACUCAGUGUUCAUAUCUACUCCGGGGCCUAAAUCGGCUCCGGGGCGGCUGCGGAGAAGGCCGCCUGCGAGAUGUUCAAAAACACUUUCCAGAGCGGCUUCCUCUCCAUCCUCUACAGCAUCGGCAGCAAGCCCCUGCAAAUUUGGGACAAAAAGGUGCGGAAUGGCCACAUCAAACGAAUUACUGAUAAUGACAUCCAGUCCCUUGUGCUUGAGAUUGAAGGGACAAAUGUCAGCACCACAUAUAUCACAUGUCCUGCAGACCCUAAGAAGACACUGGGAAUUAAGCUUCCUUUCCUUGUCAUGAUUAUUAAAAACCUGAAGAAAUAUUUUACCUUCGAAGUACAAGUAUUAGAUGACAAGAAUGUACGUCGGCGGUUUCGGGCAAGUAACUACCAAAGCACUACACGGGUCAAACCCUUCAUCUGCACCAUGCCUAUGCGGCUGGAUGAUGGCUGGAACCAAAUUCAGUUCAACUUAUCAGACUUCACCCGACGAGCAUAUGGCACAAAUUACAUUGAGACCCUAAGAGUGCAGAACAGUAUUGGUUUCUGGCUCAAGUUCCCAAGUCACUGUCCAGGGAGUUUUGGCUUCAAAAAGGUCCAAGAAAUAUUCACGAGUCUGUUCAGAUUCAGUGGGCGAAUAAAGUAAGUAAAAUCUCCUCAUGCCAGAAUCUACCCCUAAGCCAAGCCAAGAACAUGCUAAAGAGAAUAAGCUUUUAUAGUAGUAUGAGAGGGCCUGUAGAAGAACCAGGAAAAAGGAAUCAGGCAUGUUUAGCCUCUCUUAGCACAAACAAGGCUUGUGUCCACAGAUCCAUGCAAAUUGUCGCAUCCGAAGGGUUUACUUCUCAGACAGACUCUACUCAGAAGAUGAACUGCCCGCAGAGUUCAAACUUUAUCUCCCAGUUCAGAACAAGGCAAAGCAAUAACUCGAAUACAACUCAAGGGAUAGACCCUGGAUUUGACUCUUAGAUUAAAAAAGAAAUUGUCUGGAGGACAAUGCAAAAGCAUAUUUAUAUUAGUUCACUCUGCUAUAGUUCUUUUAUUUACUACUUGGUGUCUGUUGUUGUCACCAAUGGCCAUGCCAUAACUUUGCAAUUGCAUUGUAAAUACAGUAGGGGAUUAAGCAGUCCUGUGAGUGAUAAGUGAAUGCUGGAGUUUAUCCUGCUGCCUGCCCCAGAGUUUGGGGAGACAUUUACCAUGAACUUACAGAAUUAAAGACGCCCCAUGAAGCAAUUUCAGACCAAUACUUCUUCUUACGGUUCAUUCUUUGUUUUAUAUAUUAUCUAAAUAUAUGUAUAUGCUGUGUAAUACUCAUAAUCUGGAAAUGAAUAAAAUGUUAUAUUCUUGGUUUGUAAA